UAUUGCACAAUGGGCGAAAGCCUGAUGCAGCGACGCCGCGUGAGGGAAGACGGCCUUCGGGUUGUAAACCUCUGUCAUUCGGGACGAAUAGAUGACGGUACCGAAGAAGGAAGCUCCGGCUAAAUACGUGCCAGCAGCCGCGGUAAUACGUAUGGAGCAAGCGUUAUCCGGAUUUACUGGGUGUAAAGGGAGCGUAGGCGGUGCUAUAAGUCUGAUGUGAAAGCCCGGGGCUCAACCGCGGGACUGCAUUGGAAACUGUAGGACUGGAGUGUCGGAGGGGUAAGUGGAAUUCCUAGUGUAGCGGUGAAAUGCGUAGAUAUUAGGAGGAACACCGGUGGCGAAGGCGGCUUACUGGACGACAACUGACGCUGAGGCUCGAAAGCGUGGGGAGC
rnacentral:rRNA from 1 species